GCCAGAUUCCACUCUUGUUUAUGCAGUUAGGAUCAUGGUGUUUACUUCAUCUGGUUUACUCUAGCAUAACCAGAAGCAGAAUAUAGCCCUUAGUGUUGUAAAAUAACUAAGCAGGCUGAACACUGCAACAAUUACUUGUGCCUAGCGUUACACAGAAGGGAACUCCUUUAUUUCACUGCAACUCAAUGCAAAAGAACAUUAUAGUUCGUGGUUUUGCCAUAGCCAAAGAGGUGUCAGGCAGCUGCAGUGGAUGACUCAGAUCCACAACCACAUUUUGCCUGUAGAAAAGGAAAUCUUGGCUGAAUGUCUGCAACCGCUGUCAGUCAUUAAAAGAAGGAUGCAUAUUUAGAGAGAAGACUCGUGGAGAGAAAACACCAACCUUCCUAUGCCUUCCACAGUUCUACGAAUCCUUUUUAACUGUGUUUUGUUACUCAGAAAGUUGUGUGAGCUUGCUAGAAUCUCCCAUUAAUUCACUGUAGGAAAGACACUCUUAAAUUGCAUCCAGAUCUCCAGCAGAGCUGCCUCCCCCUAAGCAGCCCUUUUCCAAGUGCACAUUUAAAACAAGCUACUAAGUGCUUACAGGAUCUGCAUCUGAUCAGAAGGAUGGUGUUGAAGCUGACAGUCUUUUAAAACACUGGAACAUUUUUAUCUUUUUCUCCUAUCUCCCUUUUCCUUCUGGCCUUCAAAUUUAAAUGCAACGUCUGACUAAUGAUGACAGAAAUUAAUCUGCUCUCAUUGCAUCAGGUUAUAUAUGCAAGUAAAACUAACAGUCUCAGCUGCAAACGGUGAUUCCUACCUGUGACCUCCAUGAAAUUAGUAUGGAACCUUAUACAUAGAUUUAAUCUAAUCAUGUCUAAAACUUGUAGUCUGGUUUUCUUCCUAGACUUUGGCUGCUGAUCUAUCAGUAACUUAUAAACCAAGGAAAUUUAAGUAUAUAGACUGAGUUCAGUCCUCACUGUCGUCUUCAUCAUCAUCGUCAUCUUUACUGGGAGCACAUCUUUGGAAGCAGUGCACUAGAGUUGCUAGGAAGAAGCUUGAUAGAAUUGCAGCAAUGGAGACUGCGACUCCAGAGAAGAUGAUGAUAAAAAGGCAGGGAACACUGGAUUUCAUGGAGACCUGCAAAGAAGAGGAGAGGGAAACAAAUCAGAGGAAUAUUGAUGAAACCAUCUGUUGCUCUGGACAGAGAACAAAUGCCUGAGGAAAAUGUUUUAAGGGUUAUUUCUAGGCUCAGGAAUUUGUAUGAAAUUCA
rnacentral:lncRNA from 1 species